rnacentral:rRNA from 1 species
CACGUAGGGGGCGAGCGUUGUCCGGAUUCAUUGGGCGUAAAGAGCUCGUAGGCGGCUUGGCAAGUCGGGUGUGAAACCUCCAGGCUCAACCUGGAGACGCCACCCGAUACUGCUAUGGCUAGAGUCCGGUAGGGGACCACGGAAUUCCUGGUGUAGCGGUGAAAUGCGCAGAUAUCAGGAGGAACACCGGUGGCGAAGGCGGUGGUCUGGGCCGGCACUGACGCUGAGACGCGAAAGCGUGGGGAGCGAACAGG